AUUGAACGCUGGCGGCAUGCCUUACACAUGCAAGUCGAACGGCAGCAUGAUCUAGCUUGCUCGAUUGAUGGCGAGUGGCGAACGGGUGAGUAUUACAUCGGAACGUGCCCUGUAGUGGGGGAUAACUAGUCGAAAGAUUAGCUAAUACCGCAUACGACCUGAGGGUGAAAGUGGGGGACCGCAAGGCCUCAUGCUAUAGGAGCGGCCGAUGUCUGAUUAGCUAGUUGGUGAGGUAAAGGCUCACCAAGGCGACGAUCAGUAGCUGGUCUGAGAGGACGAUCAGCCACACUGGGACUGAGACACGGCCCAGACUCCUACGGGAGGCAGCAGUGGGGAAUUUUGGACAAUGGGCGAAAGCCUGAUCCAGCAAUGCCGCGUGUGUGAAGAAGGCCUUCGGGUUGUAAAGCACUUUUGUCCGGAAAGAAAUGGCUCUGGUUAAUACCUGGGGUCGAUGACGGUACCGGAAGAAUAAGGACCGGCUAACUACGUG
rnacentral:rRNA from 1 species